rnacentral:rRNA from 1 species
GACAGAGGGUGCAAACGUUGUUCGGAAUUACUGGGCGUAAAGCGUGUGUAGGCGGCUAGGUAAGUCGGAUGUGAAAGCCCCGGGCUCAACUCGGGAAGUGCACUCGAUACUGCUUAGCUCGAGUACCGGAGAGGUUGGUGGAAUUCUCGGUGUAGAGGUGAAAUUCGUAGAUAUCGAGAGGAACACCGGUGGCGAAGGCGGCCAACUGGACGAAUACUGACGCUGAGACUCGAAAGCGUGGGGAGCAAACAGG